ensembl:lncRNA
AAUUGAAUUAAAAUUGUGUACUACGUGGGCAGGCUGUGAUAGGUAAUUAAGUUUAUUGAUUAUGCUGCAGCUCGGUUUGUCAGAUGUACAGCGCACCCUGCACUAUAAUUGCUGUUAUAUAUACUGGACAGAGCCAGUCUCAGAUGGUGCAAACUGGCACGAGGCCAUUCCUUCAGCAGCAGCUUUCUCCAGUUCUGGACUUUGUGUUACUGCUUUCUGUAAGAGGUUCAUAAGCAUAACAGAUGAACCUCAUCUUGCUCGGGAAUGUUGUAAAAUUAGACAUUUAUCUGUCUCAAGAACCACAUGGACUGAAUGGUCCAUAAACCUCCUCUCUAAGCCAGUGGUGAUUUAUAGGUUCAAAUGGAGGCUAUGCUGAAUUUUCACUUUGCAGCCAGAAGCAGAAAUUGCAUUUGACUGGGGACCACACUGAGCACUGUCAGAUUUGUAUUUGAAGCCCUAAACUCAAUGCAGAGUUUGUUGGGUUGCGAAUGGGAAAAAAAUAAAACUAAAUAUUUGCAGAACACUUCUUCUCCAGGAGCACAAAUACCAGAUUUUAUUCAAACCAGCCAUAGUUUUCCAUGGAGUAAGAAGAAUGCGGUUUGAUGCUAGUGCUAAAAUGAAGCGCUGGGAGCAGUGGGAAAAGGAAACUGAGAAGGAGUCCAUGUCUGCAGGAGAAGCCUGCAGGGCAGGUGAGGGAGCAUGCAGUCACACUGGCGUCUGCAUCACGGUAAGGACAUGAAGGCGUUAAUCCAGCAAACCUCAGAAGUCACAGAGGAGACCUAUGGGAUUUCUGCUGCAGUCAGCGGGGCUGCUCACAGUUUUAAAGCCAUGCUUUGCUGAAGGAAGUCUCUCAAGCUCAGCUUUCAAGGGACUGAGAAGCUUUUGAAAAUCGGGUACUGAGCAUCCAGUUUUAAUUGGGAAUAAUGCUUUCUCUUCUCCAUAUAAUACACCUGAACUUCAGGAACCAGUCAAAUUAACUUAGCUUUCCUGUAUUAUGCAAUAUAUAUUGCCUCCAGAUACUCACCUUGAAGCCAGUACCUAUUUCCUAGCCAGAAGGCUGAAAAAUACUCUGAGAAAUGUCUCUGAAAUCGUUAUUUCUGAAAUGUGAUAAUCCAGCUUGAAGGAGAAGAAAGCAGUAAACCUAUUUUUGAGUAUGCUAAGGGAUUUUUUUUCCUUUAUGUCUCUUCCUCUCUAUCCAAAUCCUUGAGUCCGCUUAUUGCCUUCUCCUUUGAUUGAAAUGCUUCAUUGCUGAAGGGCUGCUUCUGCUGGACUCUGGCUGCUGGUGAGCACUUUAGUUUCAAAACGUGCACACAGAGAAUGUGUCAUUAGGGAAGAAGGUGCUGCUGAGGGGAAGUCAAGGUUAAGGUUAUCUCCUCUGAAUAUCAGACAAGAUGCUAAAGAGGUAUCUUUAUUUUCACAUAUAUAUUUAAAAAAUGAUUUUAAAACCUCUACUGAAG